rnacentral:rRNA from 1 species
UACGAAGGGGGCUAGCGUUGUUCGGAAUUACUGGGCGUAAAGCGCGCGUAGGCGGUGAUCUUUGUCAGAGGUGAAAGCCUGGGGCUCAACCCCAGAAUUGCCUUUGAAACUGGAUCGCUAGAGUCCGAGAGAGGAUGGCGGAAUUCCCGGGUGUACGCGGUGAAAUGCGCAGAUAUCGGGAGGAACACCCGUAGCGAAGGCGGCACUCUGGGCCGGAACUGGACGCUGAGGAGCGAAAGCGUGGGGAGCAAACAGG